rnacentral:lncRNA from 1 species
AAGGGAGAUCAUGACUGGACCAAGGAGACUUUGGAAAUAAGUGAAGAAUGGGAGUCUGAUUCUUCUUCCAAGCUGCGUGUUCCAAUGGUUUUCAUCUCUGGUAAGUAGACUGCUUGAUUUCUCGGCUGCUUUGUAUUUGUGCUAAGCUGCUCUCUAAUUUUUUUAUUUUUUCCCUUUUUUCUGGUAGAUUUGGAAUUCAGCUCGACUCCUAAGACUUCUCCAGAUAUGAAGAAGGUGCAUAUUACCCUAGGUAUCCCUCUUAAGUACUGUGAGUGGUGUUGGCUGCUUAGUCCUCUUCGUCGAGAGAAAGGUGAGCUACCCCCGAGAUAUGAGUGUUGGAAGUAUGCCCACAAGGCCACUCAUUUGAUGUAAUAGCUUUUGGAAUACUUAUUGUGUUAAACUAUUAUAUGUUUAAUGAAGGGUAAAUCUUAUUGUUAAUCACUAUUUAUUGUAUUAUGUGUUUAAGCAAUAAAGGAAUCCAAUGAAUGUAUUUAAUCAGAGAGAGAAGUGAUCUAAGUAAGUUAGAUUAACAAGACCUUUCUCUUAUGUUCAUUCCUAAAAUGUUCCUAGCCAUAAGAUUGCCAAUUGGACAUUGACAAUCUACUAAGGUUAGUAUGUGUUAUGUUAACUCAAGCGUGAGUAUGACUAGUCUCAAGUCAUUUAGUGUUAGAUACCGAGACAAACACAUAGGUGCUCAAAAGGUAAUUGAGUACACUGAACAACGAUAAAAAAUGAGUUCGAACGUACAUGUCAUGUAAGAACUCGUAACUUGCAAUAUGCAAAGUAGUCCUUUAACCUGAGGCAUCAUAGAUGUCUAAUGGUUGGGUCCUUGAUCUUUGAUCAUGUUAAAGGUAUUCCAUUGAGACUCUCCACGGCAUUGUUGGGGUCAAGUUAUCUAGUCAUGUAGGCAUAUGAAUGCACAACAAGGGAUCUCUAAACUUCCAUGGUGGAAGGAGAAUACUCUGAAAUAUGAUUUAGGAGUCUUUGGCCAAAGCAUACAAAUAUGACUUAGGAAGUUUGUUCCAAAUCAUAUUCAAUUGAAUCAUAUAGAGAAGUAUCACAUUGGAUAGUAGACAUGAAACAAACUAUCACUCAAACAAUGUGAUUAAGAGUAUUGUAUUAGAGAAAGACCGUAUUGCAUUAUAAAUGUAACUGGAUAGGUUCUCCAACCACUUCUACUUAGCUUGGGUAGCCAUGACAUACUGCUAGGUGUCACUCAUGGUUUGUGGAAGCCCUGAGGAUUAGCAAACACUAAUCUUCAUCAAAGGGAGAAUUGAAAUGUAGUUUCAAUUCACAAUCGAUCGUUAAGAGUAACAAUCACCCAUUAAUUGGAACCUAAUGGAUCUUACACCGAGUAAGGAUGAAAGUGAAGAAAUAUAUAUGAGAUGGAUAAGCAAUUAAAUAGUUUAAUUGAGAAUGGUCAAGAUUAAUUAAUUAGUUAAUUGGGCUUUUAAGUUGGUUUGGGGUUUUGGGGCCCAAAAGGGUGUUUGGUCCACAAGGCCCAUUGAGUUUAGGUUAUGUGAAAACUAAAACUAAAUGGAAAUUAACCCAAAAACAAACUCAAAACCGGCCAAGGGUGAGUGGUAGCAAACUUGGGUUAAUUGCAAGUUUGCCACUCACAUAUAAGGUGGUAUAAAUGCAACUUUAUAGCCAUUCUCUCACUAUGGUUUUCUUGAAGAAAAGAGGAGAAACUUUUUCUCUCUUUUUCUCCAUAGAGGCUGGCCACUUAGAGGAAGGAUAGCUAGCAAUCUUUCUUCCUUUAAGUCAUCCAUUUCAUCUUCACACCUCAUCCUUGGUAUGGAGACUUAGAGACACUAAAUCUUUGGUGUUUUUGGAGAUCCUUUCCUCACAUCCUCAAGGAGUAAAGGAGUAUCAAAAGGAAGAAAAACACAAGGAAGAUCUAAGGAGCUAGGAGGUGACUUGAAGGCCCUCCACUUGGGUGAAUCCCUUGUGUAAACAAGGAUGAGCUUCAAGGGUAAUGAAUCUCAAAAUCCUUUCUUCUCUUUAAUGUUGUUAAAGAGUUGGUUCACCAUUCACUAGGCUUUGAAAGUCAUGGGUUUUAGAAUUGUUUUUUAAUGCAUGCCUACUUUAAAGUGUUAUUAGUUUGCUUAUGUGUUCAAAUUUUCUCACAUGUUCUUAGCUAGGUCAAAAUUUAUCCUUCAAGGAGAUAAAGCGAAUCAAAGCUGAGGUGUUGGCUCAUCCAAUCACUAUAGUUAAGCCUACCGCGCAUGAAGGUGGAAAGAAGAGAUCUUCCCCCAAGCUCGUGAUUAACUUGACUUCCUCCAAGCUCGUGAUUAACUUGACUUCCUUCAAGCUCAUGAUUAACUUGACUUCCUCCAAGGGUGAGAAAGAGAGGGCUGCUAGAUCUAUGCCAGUGAUGCCUG